GCUGUCGGUGUGCUAUUUUAUACCAAGCAGGAGGUAGAAGUUUUUUAUCGCUCUUCUUUCCCUGAAAAAUAUGUCAUUCUCCUUCAUGCUUGGAUUCUUCCGAUUGCACUUUUUUUUCUUUUUGUGAAGUUCUGACAGCAAAGCUUGAAUACAAGCUUUCUUCUGCCUCAAGCUGUGUAAAAGGAACUCAGAUGGAACUCCUUUACCAGUCCUGGACACCUUUGGCUAAUAAGACCAAGUGAAUAUUUUGAAAAGUAGAGGGACAAGAAGAAACAAAAUAAAGGAAAUCCGAGCAAAAAGAACGGAAAAAGCAGAUCUGAAUGUGUUUCUCUUUCAAAGCACACAAGCAUUGUCACGUUCCUUGGAACUGUUGCUCUUGCUGUAACAAUCCUAUUUCCUAACCCAUGUGUUGUGAUUGCUGAAGAUUUCAGGUGAAGCCUUUCCUGCCUGUAUCUGAACAGAAUUGGGCAUCUGCUUAUGUCACCAAAUAUAGGUGAUAGCAGAAACCCGAAAAAGACGCAUCAAGAAGGAAAUGUUAUAAAGAAAAUGUGCGUAUGAAGAUUCUAGAAAUGUUAUAAAGAAAGUGUGGAAAUAAACUGUUGCAGGAUGAACGACACGUCAAGAAGUAUAUUGCGGAGAGACAGAAUUAAGCUGGCAUCCAAGUUUCCAUGCUCGGAUUGGGUGUGAUUUGUGUAGAAUGCGAUCUCAGUACUCGGUUGGUGGAAGUACUACAUACAUAGAUGCAGUGCGGUGCAUCAACUGUGAAGGAUGCUUCAUCAAGAUCUGUGUAUGGACCCCCUGACUGCAUGUAUCAUUACGCCUAAUGAUGUACUAAUAGUUGCGCUCAUAAAUGUAAGGAGUAUCUGGGACUGGGUAGUGAUCAUUUUCAAUUAUUCAUACUGUAUAGGCUACAGAAGGCGGACAACAAACUUGGCAAAUUAUUAUGGAGGUUAUAUAUGCCAGAUUAUGCCCAGGUAA